AUUGAACGCUGGCGGCAUGCCUUACACAUGCAAGUCGAACGGUAACGGGCCUUCGGGUGCCGACGAGUGGCGAACGGGUGAGUAAUACAUCGGAACGUGCCCGAUCGUGGGGGAUAACGAGGCGAAAGCUUUGCUAAUACCGCAUACGAUCUACGGAUGAAAGCCGGGGACCGCUAGGCCUUGCGCGGACGGAGCGGCCGAUGGCAGAUUAGGUAGUUGGUGGGAUAAAAGCUUACCAAGCCGACGAUCUGUAGCUGGUCUGAGAGGAUGAUCAGCCACACUGGGACUGAGACACGGCCCAGACUCCUACGGGAGGCAGCAGUGGGGAAUUUUGGACAAUGGGCGCAAGCCUGAUCCAGCCAUGCCGCGUGCAGGAUGAAGGCCUUCGGGUUGUAAACUGCUUUUGUACGGAACGAAAAGCCUUCUUUUAAUACAGGAGGGUCAUGACGGUACCGUAAGAAUAAGCACCGGCUAACUACGUG
rnacentral:rRNA from 1 species